rnacentral:lncRNA from 1 species
GCACAGUUUGAUUCUUUUAAAGUGAAACAAAAGUUGGACAACUAUUGAAGUAUAGAAUAUUUUGAAUGUAUUUUUAUACUGCUAAAUGAUCUUAGGUUUACCCCUUCUCUCUCUCUCUCUCUCUCUGUAAACUAUAAACUUACUCCUUGUGAUCACCCUUAAAGGUUCAGCCCGGAGAGGGAAACAAAGCCUCCUUCAAUGACAUGCGUGCUUUGUCCGGCGGCGAGCGCUCUUUUUCCACAGUGUGCUUCAUUCUUUCCCUGUGGUCCAUUGCUGAAUCACCUUUCAGAUGCCUGGAUGAGUUUGAUGUCUACAUGGUAUUGUUAAAAAUUUUAAGUUCUAUAACUUUUAUUUGGUUGGAACAGUUGAAAGAAACCGUCUUCCUUUUGCUUCCCCACAUCAGUUUGUGAUGUCAGUGCAUGGCAGAGCCUGUUGUUCCGUUCUGUCGGUGAUUACUGCGUGCCCUCCUUCAGCUUUCCUCUCCACCAUGUACACCUAGUGUCUGCCUGCCGGGCUCUCCUUCACCCCUUCCCUAGCUUAUAUUCAUGAAAACUCAGGGCUCUUGCUGACUGACGCCUUUGGUUAUGGUCACACUUUCCAAAAAAAGAAAAGAAGGGAGGAAGGAAGGAAGGGAGGGAGGAAGGAAGGAAGGAAGGAAGGAAGGAAGGAAGGAAGGAAGGAAGGAAGGAAGGAAGGGAGCAAAAGUGACAAAGACGCAAGAGCCCUUGCCUUUAAAGGUUAAACAAUGAAAGUUUUGAGACCAAGGGCGGCCACAAGUACUCCAGUGGCUUAGACAUGUCCUCCGGCGUCUCAGUGUUUCUAUGUAGAGAGGAUUCACUACCUCAUUGGAUUACAGUGAGGCACAGGUGACAGUCUGUGUCUAACAUGUGCCAUUACUAUUUUAC